ensembl:lncRNA
CCUUUAAUGAUGUAAAAUUGUGAAAACUAUUUACAAGAAAGAUCUCCAGUUCACUGGUUCUGUUUUUUUUUUUUUUUUCCUGCACAGGUUAAUGUAUGGUGUAGAACAUUUUAAGUUCCUGACUCUCUUGCUCAGAGUACCACUGAAAGGGCCGAAAAGCAACACCAGCACAGAUGUUUAUUCCAAAUAACUGUCACCAGUUCAAAAGUUCCACUUUUCAGCUUGCAAAGACGGCUUGUGAAGAGAGCUGAGCUUCCAGUGCAGCAGCAGCCAAAGUCACAGGGGCAGAAAUAGUACGAGGGAUUAGAGAGCGAAGGACAGCCCUGACUAUUCACGCUUGGCACUUGCAAGACAGCCACCGGUACAAUUCCUGAGUUGUGCAGAAUGACACUGUUUACCUUAAGCUAAACAGACUAGUAUGCCGCCAGACCCAAGCAGCUAAUCCCACCAUCCUGCGCCACUGAAUCCAGCAUCCCAUCAUUUAAUGAAAUGAAACCACGAAAUGGAAAUUUCAGAUGGCAUAUUCAGUCAUUGGUACCCUGUGCUCUGUAAAACUUUGUGGUUCCCCCCACUGUAAUACACCUGACUCAUACCAGCUAAUUAUGGGCGAGCUGGAUUGAAUACUGUGAUCAUUUCCAGCAUCAAAUCAGUGCAACCACAUUUGACAUUUUAUAUUGAAGUGUUAUCAUGUCAGCAAUAUUUUUGGCCAUGACAAACUUUCCCAUAAUCACCUGCCCUCAAGUCAAACACAGAACUUGCUUUAAUAGCUCACCGGUCAUAACAUAGUUGUAAAGAUAUUAUCAAGGAAACUUGAAAAACACCUUGCCCUUAGCAAUCCGGUUCUUCAAUUAUUAAAAUAAGCUUCAAUUUUCAGCUCAUGCACUUGAAGGCAGAUGGUCAUUGAGCAGAUGAUCUGUGGCUAUUAAUUCAUAUUAAUUUGUAUUCUGUCCCUUUUGACCCUUUUCCACACACACACACACACACACACACACACACACACACACACAUAAUUCUGUUACAAAACAAAGCAGGAAGUAAAAAAUGAAUCAUAAUGUGAUCUUAGCUGACUUAUGCCAGGUGCUCUUUAUUACUUCUUCCAACUUGACUGACACCUUUGGAGAAGUACACAAAGCUCAUCAUUCUAACUUUAAAACUGCUCUGUGGCCAGAGGGAAUUGUGUUGAUUGAAAUAGUUGGCGUUUUUAAAAUCAUGUAGAAAUUGAGUGUUUGCCAGUGGCCUGCAGCAAAAAGUUAGGUAACAUUGUCCUUUAU